ACGGCUCAGUAACACGUGGACAACCUACCCUGAGGUCGGGGAUAAACCCGGGAAACUGGGUAUAAUACCCGAUAGAUCUAGAUCGCUGGAAUGCUUUUAGGUCUAAAGUUCCGACGCCUCAGGAUGGGUCUGCGGCCUAUCAGGGUAGUAGUGGGUGUAAAGUACCUACUAGCCUACGACGGGUACGGGUUGUGAGAGCAAGAGCCCGGAGAUGGAUUCUGAGACACGAAUCCAGGCCCUACGGGGUGCAGCAGGCGCGAAACCUUUACAAUGCUGGCAACAGCGAUAAGGGGACCUCGAGUGCUACGAUAUAAUCGUGGCUGUCUAGUUGCCUAAAAAGCAAUUGAUAGCAAGGGCCGGGCAAGACCGGUGCCAGCCGCCGCGGUAACACCGGCGGCUCGAGUGGUAACCGCUAUUAUUGGGUCUAAAGGGUCUGUAGCCGGCUUAGUUAGUCUCUUGAGAAAUCUGGCCGCUCAACGGUCAGGCGUUCAGGGGAUACUGCUAAAGCUCGAGACCGGGAGAGGUGAGAGGUACUUCAGGGGUAGGGGUGAAAUCUUGUAAUCCUUGAAGGACCACCAGUGGCGAAGGCGUCUCACCAGAACGGAUCUGACGGCAAGGGACGAAAGCUAGGGGCACGAACCGGAUUAGAUACCCGGGUAGUCCUAGCCGUAAACGAUACUCGCUAGGUGUCGGCCACGGUGCGACCGUGGUCGGUGCCGUAGGGAAGCCGUGAAGCGAGCCACCUGGGAAGUACGGCCGCAAGGCUGAAACUUAAAGGAAUUGGCGGGGGAGCAC
rnacentral:rRNA from 1 species